GCCAGGCGUGGUGGCUCACGCCUGUAAUCCCAGCACUCUGGGAGGCCGAGAUGGGUGGAUCACUUGAGGCCAGGAGUUCAAGACCAGCCUGGCCAACAUGGUGAAACCCUGUCUCUA
ensembl:misc_RNA Metazoa_SRP Metazoan signal recognition particle RNA